GAGCGGUAACAGGCGUAGCAAUACGUGCUGACGAGCGGCGAACGGGUGAGUAAUGCUUCGGAAUCUACCCAGUAGUGGGGAAUAACCAGCCGAAAGGUUGGCUAAUACCGCAUACGUCCUACGGGAGAAAGCGGGGGAUCGUAAGACCUCGCGCUAUCGGAUGAGCCGAAGCCGGAUUAGCUAGUUGGUAGGGUAACGGCCUACCAAGGCGACGAUCCGUAGCUGGUCUGAGAGGACGACCAGCCACACUGGGACUGAGACACGGCCCAGACUCCUACGGGAGGCAGCAGUGGGGAAUAUUGGACAAUGGGGGAAACCCUGAUCCAGCGACGCCGCGUGUGUGAAGAAGGCCUGCGGGUUGUAAAGCACUUUUAGUGGGGAUGAAAAGCCUAGGACUAACACUCCUGGGUCUUGACCUAACCCACAGAAAAAGCACCGGCUAACUCUGUGCCAGCAGCCGCGGUAAUACAGAGGGUGCGAGCGUUAAUCGGAAUUACUGGGCGUAAAGCGUGCGUAGACGGUAGCGUAAGUCAGAUGUGAAAGCCCCGGGCUCAACCUGGGAAUUGCAUUUGAGACUGCUCUGCUCGGGUGCGGAAGAGGGAAGCGGAAUUUCCGGUGUAGCGGUGAAAUGCGUAGAUAUCGGAAGGAACACCAGUGGCGAAAGCGGCUUCCUGGUCCGACACCGACGUUCAGGCACGAAAGCGUGGGGA
rnacentral:rRNA from 1 species